rnacentral:rRNA from 1 species
GAUGAACGCUGGCGGCGUGCUUAACACAUGCAAGUCGAGCGAAGCACUUAUGAUUGACUUUUCGGAGGAUUUCAUUAGUGACUGAGCGGCGGACGGGUGAGUAACGCGUGGGUAACCUGCCUCAUACAGGGGGAUAACAGUUAGAAAUGACUGCUAAUACCGCAUAAGCGCACAGUACCGCAUGGUACAGUGUGAAAAACUCCGGUGGUAUGAGAUGGACCCGCGUUUGAUUAGCUAGUUGGUGAGGUAACGGCCCACCAAGGCGACGAUCAAUAGCCGACCUGAGAGGGUGACCGGCCACAUUGGGACUGAGACACGGCCCAAACUCCUACGGGAGGCAGCAGUGGGGAAUAUUGCACAAUGGGGGAAACCCUGAUGCAGCGACGCCGCGUGAGCGAUGAAGUAUUUCGGUAUGUAAAGCUCUAUCAGCAGGGAAGAAAAUGACGGUACCUGACUAAGAAGCACCGGCUAAAUACGUGCCAGCAGCCGCGGUAA